UACGUAGGAUCCGAGCGUUGUCCGGAGUUACUGGGUGUAAAGGGUGCGCAGGCUGCUCUGUGCGUCAGGGGUGAAAUCCACGGGCUCAACUCGUGGGGUGCCUUUGAUACGGCGGAGCUGGAGUGCAGGAGAGGCAGAUGGAAUUCCUGGUGUAGCAGUGAAAUGCGUAGAUAUCAGGAGGAACACCGGUGGCGAAGGCGGUCUGCUGGCCUGUAACUGACGCUGAGGCACGAAAGCGUGGGGAUCAAACAGG
rnacentral:rRNA from 1 species